GUGUCAGCCGCCGCGGUAAUACGUAGGUGGCAAGCGUUAUCCGGAAUUAUUGGGCGUAAAGCGCGCGUAGGCGGUUUUUUAAGUCUGAUGUGAAAGGCCACAGCUCAACUGUGGAGGGCCAUUGGAAACUGGGGAACUUGAGGACAGAAGAGGAGAGCGGAAUCCACGUGUAGCGGUGAAAUGCGUAGAUAUGUGGAGGAACACCAGUGGCGAAGGCGGCUCUCUGGUCUGUAACUGACGCUGAGGCGCGAAAGCAUGGGUAGCGAACAGGAUUAGAAACCCCCGUAGUCC
rnacentral:rRNA from 1 species